UACGUAGGGCGCAAGCGUUGUCCGGAAUUAUUGGGCGUAAAGAGCUCGUAGGCGGCUUGUCACGUCGGCUGUGAAAGCCCGGGGCUUAACUCCGGGUCUGCAUUCGAUACGGGCUAGCUAGAGUGUGGUAGGGGAGAUCGGAAUUCCUGGUGUAGCGGUGAAAUGCGCAGAUAUCAGGAGGAACACCGGUGGCGAAGGCGGAUCUCUGGGCCAUUACUGACGCUGAGGAGCGAAAGCGUGGGGAGCGAACAGG
rnacentral:rRNA from 1 species